UACGUAGGUGGCAAGCGUUGUCCGGAUUUACUGGGCGUAAAGGGCGUGCAGGCGGUCUGUUAAGUCUAGGGUGAAAGCUCCCGGCUCAACUGGGAGAGGUCCUUGGAUACUGGCGGACUUGAGGGAGGCAGAGGAAAGUGGAAUUCCCGGUGUAGUGGUGAUAUGCGUAGAUAUCGGGAGGAACACCAGUGGCGAAGGCGGCUUCCUGGCCUGUUCUUGACGCUGAGGCGCGAAAGCCAGG
rnacentral:rRNA from 1 species